rnacentral:rRNA from 1 species
UACGUAGGGGGCGAGCGUUAUCCGGAUUCACUGGGUGUAAAGGGAGCGUAGACGGCCAUGCAAGCCAGGGGUGAAAACCCGGGGCCCAACCCCGGGACUGCCCUUGGAACUGCAUGGCUGGAGUGCGGGAGGGGCAGGCGGAAUUCCUGGUGUAGCGGUGAAAUGCGUAGAUAUUAGGAGGAACACCAGUGGCGAAGGCGGCCUGCUGGACGAUGACUGACGCUGAGGCGCGAAAGCGUGGGGAGCAAACAGG